UUUGCUUGCAACUAAAGAUGGCGACCGGCGCACGGGUGAGUAACACGUAUCCCAUUUGGGGAUAACUCUGGGAUAGCCUUUCGAAAGAAAGACCUUACCGGAUGGCAUAGGAUUAUCGCAUGAUGAUCCUAUUAAAGAAUUUCGGUUAUCGAUGGGGAUGCGUUCCAUUAGGCAGUUGGUGAGGUAACGGCUCACCAAACCUUCGAUGGAUAGGGGUUCUGAGAGGAAGGUCCCCCACAUUGGAACUGAGACACGGUCCAAACUCCUACGGGAGGCAGCAGUGAGGAAUAUUGGUCAAUGGACGGGAGUCUGAACCAGCCAAGUAGCGUGAAGGAUGACUGCCCUAUGGGUUGUAAACUUCUUUUAUACGGGAAUAAAGUGAUCCACGUGUGGAUUUUUGUAUGUACCGUAUGAAUAAGGAUCGGCUAACUCCGUGCCAGCAGCCGCGGUAAUACGGAGGAUCCGAGCGUUAUCCGGAUUUAUUGGGUUUAAAGGGAGCGUAGGUGGAUUGUUAAGUCAGUUGUGAAAGUUUGCGGCUCAACCGUAAAAUUGCAGUUGAUACUGGAUGUCUUGAGUGCAGUUGAGGCAGGCGGAAUUCGUGGUGUAGCGGUGAAAUGCUUAGAUAUCACGAAGAACUCCGAUUG
rnacentral:rRNA from 1 species